GAUAAACGCUGGCGGCGCGCCUAACACAUGCAAGUCGAACGAGCGAGAGAGAGCUUGCUUUCUCAAGCGAGUGGCGAACGGGUGAGUAACGCGUGAGGAACCUGCCUCAAAGAGGGGGCGAACAGUUGGAAACGACUGCUAAUACCGCAUAAGCCCACGACCCGGCAUCGGGUUGAGGGAAAGGAGCAAUCCGCUUUGAGAUGGCCUCGCGUCCGAUUAGCUAGUUGGUGAGGUAACGGCCUACCAAGGCGACGAUCAGUAGCCGGACUGAGAGGUUGAACGGCCACAUUGGGACUGAGAUACGGCCCAG
rnacentral:rRNA from 1 species